AGUGAACGCUGGCGGCGUGCCUAAUACAUGCAAGUCGAGCGGAGCGGCGGACGGGUGAGUAAUGCCUAGGAAUCUGCCUGGUAGUGGGGGAUAACGUCCGGAAACGGGCGCUAAUACCGCAUACUAUCAGAAGAGCCUAGGUCGGAUUAGCUAGUGGGUGGGGUAAAGGCAUACCAGGGCGACGAUCCGUAACUGGUCUGCGAGGAUGAUCAGUCAAACUGGAGCGUGGACACGGUCCAGACUCCUACGUGAGGCAGCAGUGGGGAAUAUUGGACAAUGGGCGAAAGCCUGAUCCUGCCAUGCCGCGUGUGUGAAGAAGGUCUUCGGAUUGUAAAGCACUUUAAGUUGGGAGGCGUUACCAACAGAAUAAGCACCGGCUAACUUCGUGCCAGCCGCCGCGGUAAUAC
rnacentral:rRNA from 1 species